rnacentral:rRNA from 5 species
GGACCUCAGAUCAGGCAAGAUUACCCGCUGAGUUUAAGCA